CCCUUAGAUGUUCUGGGCUGCACGCGCGCUACACUGAAGGACUCAACGUGCUUGUCUCCUUGGCCGUCAGGUCUGGGUAACCCGUUGAACCUCCUUCGUGCUAGGGAUUGGGGCUUGUAAUUAUUCCCCAUGAACGAGGAAUUCCCAGUAAGCGCGAGUCAUCAUCUCGCGUUGAUUACGUCCCUGCCCUUUGUACACACCGCCCGUCGCUACUACCGAUUGAGUGAUCCGGUGAAUAAUUCGGACUGCAGCACUGCUUGGUCUCCAGGCUUUGCAGCGGAAAGUUUAGUGAACCUUAUCACUUAGAGGAAGGAGAAGUCGUAACA
rnacentral:rRNA from 1 species